rnacentral:lncRNA from 1 species
AGAAACUUCUGGCCUCUGGACACUGUGGGAGCAACUUUUCCUUUAUUAGACUGUCUCCUCUUUAACUGUACCUAGAAGAUACUUUAGCACAGCAAGCAUCUCUUUUAUGCUUACAUUAUGCAGUUAUGCAGACUUGGUGUACGUCCUUCAAGGACAGUCUAAGAAUCUUUGAUUCUAUUUCUGCUGGAUACAUUGUUGCAGAGAUGUAAGAAGGAAGGACUUAGAAAAGUAUGCUAUAAGAAUUGAAUGCUCAGAGGCAAGCUAACUUCACAAGGAGAAAAGAAAGAUGGAAACAGCCUAGACAAACUCAAAUCAAGUCCAGGAGACUUACGCUAGAGUUGCUUUUUCUAAUAGAAGAGACCAGUGUGCAAUUGUGAAUUGUGAUGCUGAGGCAAGCCCCAAGGAUGAAGAGAAUUAAAUAGAGGAGGAAGAGAAGAGGAGAUAGACCAGUGCAAUGGACCUCAUAACCACAUACAAUCUAGUUUUAUGGGGAAACUCCUUGUAUAAAAGUAAGCAGGCCAGACCUGUCACCC